GGAGACGGAGACGAUGUGUUGGACAACACAAAUAUGGUACCUAUUCAUGCCAGUACAAUAUCCUACCAAAAGAGACAAGCACUAGUAACAUACUUUGAGCAUAACAAAGCUGGAAUCACCGUGUAUGGUUUCAUGUUAGAUCGGACAUGGCUUCAUACAAUUUUCGCGAUUCAGCUGUCUCUUACACUCUGGAUACUCAAUAAAACAAUUGGUAUUUCGUAAAUCCCAG
rnacentral:misc_RNA from 1 species